GCGUAUAUUCCAUAUUUCAUGUCAUUUUGAUUGGCUCCUGCGCUCCGAUGUGCGCGGUUGAAGCCGACUCGAAAUAUGAGCAUGAAGUAAUGAGUACACGGUAUGUGUCUGAGCGACUGUUCACUUCCUGUUAGCGGGUACCUCAGUACACAUGCACAUCAUACUCGAGAUCCUUUCAGGUUUUUCAGAGCUUCCAACGGUGCGCUUUAUAAAAGGUUUGAGUCGGGUUUUCAGAAAGGACGAUUUAAAGGAUGUGGACUGGCGUUCUUGAUCAGCUUUAGCCUCACAGUGUAAUACUGUACUCCGAUGCCAGGUAACGGGUUCUCAAGCAUUUUGCAUCCAGUGAUUCCUUCCAAAUCAAAAUUUCCACUGAUCGUCCAAAUGAUCCAUGUGCAGAUUUCAUUUUAAGAACAAUACAUGCUCCAAAUGAUUAUUUUAUUCCUUGAUUAGAGCUAAGGUUGUUGGAAUUGUGCCUAACUAAAGACAUGGCCUGUAGGAAUAUCUGGAGAAGCUUCCUCUCCGUGUACAACCCCGCUCGGGUGCUGGAUCAUCUCCAGAGUCUUCACAGGAAUGACCUAGUCAAAGGGCUUCAGCAAAAAGCAGGGCAUGACAACAAACACCUACACAGGUACUAAAACUAAAGUUUAGUAGCGUCAGAUCAACAUCAGAAUUGACAAGAGACUCUGUUUCCCUACAAAGAACACACCUACAGAUAUGGCCACCAUGGACCACACUUCCCAACACCCACCGACUUUAUCACGUUCCACACUCACAUUAUGGGUCACAACUGGGCCACAGCAGCUACAACCACUUUGUGGACUUGUUUCAGCGUGUCUUUGAUCAUCCACCUGAAAGGAUAUCAGAGAACAACUCCUCACAAGGGUCAAGAGGAAUGGCUGAGUAUGCGCUGGUAGCAGGUGGAAUGAACCUGCCCUCAGAGCCUCUUUCUAUUAGGGUCUUCACCCGGAAAUCCUCUCGGAAAUGGCCUUCUGAGAUGACAAGGUGACUCUCAACUCUCAGAUUGAUCCCAAAAUACAUCCGGAUCAUCUGUCUCGGUAACCGGCAAACACCCAUCGGAAACUGGUCGUGAUCAGCGACUCUGAAUCAUGCAACAAUACCAUCACUGACCAAUUCUGGAAGUCACUACACCUCAUUCCCCUGCCCAGUUUACCCACAGCGACACCACAGCAGAACUGCUCUUCAACCCUGUGUUCAGUAUCCCAGAAGACAUUGCAGUGACAGAGGCACACAAUUCACAUCAAUAGUCUGGUCAAACUUUAAGGGAAAAUUAGGAGAGACAGUAAGCCUAACUUCAGGUUAUCAACCACGAGCGAAUGGGCAAGUCGAAAGAACCAACCAGGAGAUCGGGCGUUCCUCAGAACCUUCUGUACCGAGAACCAGGAGCAUGAUUGGGCCCAGUUUCUUCCAUGGGCAGAGUAUGCCCAGAAUUCGCUACGCCGCUCUGUGACACAAUUAACCCCUUUCCAGUGUAUGCUCGGUUACCGACCCCUCUGUUCCCCUGGAACGCCACAGAACUCCGCAGAUUCACCAGAAACGGACUAAUGCUUUAAAAUGGAGCGAACGGGUUUGUGAAGGCACGCACCGAUGACUAGAACAAGUGUCCCAAGUAAAUAAGAAGAAUGCAGACCAACACCGACGGGAAACAUCACAAUAUCACCACGGAGACCGAGUUUGGUUGGCCACCAAGGACUUCAGAAGCGUGG